UCAAGUGACUAAGUGCAUGCGGCGGAUGCCUUGGCGAUCACAGGCGAAGAAAGACGCGGCAGCCUGCGAAAAGCUGCGGGGAGCUGGCAAACGAGCAUUGAUCCGCAGAUAUCUGAAUGGGGGAACCCACACCGCAAGGUGUAUCCGUAGCUCAAUACAUAGGUUACGGAGGCGAACGAGGAGAACUGAAACAUCUAAGUAUCCUCAGGAAAAGAAAUCAACCGAGAUUCCGGCAGUAGCGGCGAGCGAACCCGGAGGAGCCCAGCUUUUGAUAGUACGAACUUUAGCCGAAAGGUCCUGGAAAGGCCUGCUAUAGUGGGUGAUAGCCCCGUAGGCGAAAGAGUUGGUACGGUACUAAGGAAGCGAGAAGUAGAGCGGGACACGUGGAAUCCUGUUCGAAGACGGGGGGACCAUCCUCCAAGGCUAAAUACUCGUGAUCGACCGAUAGUGAACCAGUACCGUGAGGGAAAGGCGAAAAGAACCCCGGGAGGGGAGUGAAAUAGAACCUGAAACCGCAUGCAUACAAACAGUAGGAGCCUUUACGGAGGUGACUGCGUACCUUUUGCAUAAUGGGUCAGCGACUUACAUUCUGUGGCGAGCUUAACCGAAUAGGGGAGGCGCAGCGAAAGCGAGUUCGAAAUGAGCGUUCAGUCGCAGGGUGUAGACCCGAAACCAGAUGAGCUAUCCAUGGCCAGGUUGAAGGUGUGGUAACACACACUGGAGGACCGAACCGACUAGUGUUGCAAAAUUAGCGGAUGAGCUGUGGAUAGGGGUGAAAGGCCAAACAAAUCUGGAGAUAGCUGGUUCUCCCCGAAAACUAUUGAGGUAGUGCCUCGUGUGUCGCUCCAGGGGGUAGAGCACUGUUUUGGCUAGGGGGACAUGGAGUCUUACCAAACCAAGGCAAACUCCGAAUACCUGGAAGCGUGAGCACGGGAGACAGAGCACCGGGUGCUAACGUCCGGACUCAAAAGGGAAACAACCCAGACCGCCGGCUAAGGUCCCAAAUAACAGCUAAGUGGAAAACGAAGUGGAAAGGCCGUGACAACCAGGAAGUUGGCUUAGAAGCAGCCAUCCUUCAAAGAAAGCGUAAUAGCUCACUGGUCGAGUCCUUCUGCGCGGAAGAUGUAACGGGGCUAAGCUGUUAACCGAAGCCGCGGAUGCACUGGUAAUCCAGUGCGUGGUAGGGGAGCGUUCUGUAAGUCUGCGAAGGCGGUUCGAGAGGACUGCUGGAGAUAUCAGAAGUGCGAAUGCUGACAUGAGUAACGUUAAAGCAGGUGAAAAGCCUGCUCGCCGUAAGCCCAAGGAUUCCUGCUCUACGUUCAUCGGAGCAGGGUGAGUCGGCUCCUAAGGUCAGGCCGAAAGGCGUAGCCGAUGGGAAUCAGGUUAAUAUUCCUGAACCUGCGUCAGAUGCGAUGGGGGGACGGAGCAUGAAAGAUCAUCCGGGUGUUGGAAGUCCCGGUUGUUUAGCGUAGGAGGUCUGCAGGCAAAUCCGCAGACGCAUCUCCAAGGCAAAGACACGUGCCGCCACGGCGGCGAAGUGAUCGGAAGUGCUUCCAAGAAAAGCCUCUAAGCCCCAGUCUGACGCGGACCGUACCGCAAACCGACACUGGUGGGCGAGCUGAAUAUGCUCAGGCGCUUGAGAGAACUCGGGAGAAGGAACUCGGCAAAUUGACACCGUAACUUCGGAAGAAGGUGUGCCGUAGUAGCGUGAGAGGAGAGACUCCUCGAGCGUGAAUCGGUCUCAGAGAAUAGGUGGCUGCGACUGUUUAUUAAAAACACAGCACUCUGCAAAGUCGAAAGACGACGUAUAGGGUGUGAUGCCUGCCCGGUGCUGGAAGAUUAAUUGAUGGGGUGAGAGCCCUUGAUCGAAGUCCCAGUAAACGGCGGCCGUAACUAUAACGGUCCUAAGGUAGCGAAAUUCCUUGUCGGGUAAGUUCCGACCUGCACGAAUGGCAUAACGAUGGCCACACUGUCUCCUCCCGAGACUCAGUGAAGUUGAAAUGUUUGUGAUGAUGCAAUCUACCCGCGGCUAGACGGAAAGACCCCAUGAACCUUUACUGCAGCUUUGCAUUGAACUGUGAACCGAUUUGUGUAGGAUAGGUGGGAGGCAGAGAAGAGGCCACGCCAGUGGUCUUGGAGCCGACCUUGAAAU
rnacentral:rRNA from 1 species